AUGAACGCUGGCGGCGUGCUUCACCCAUGCAAGUCGAACGGAAAGGCCCAAGCUUGCUUGGGUACUCGAGUGGCGAACGGGUGAGUAACACGUGGGUGAUCUGCCCUGCACUUCGGGAUAAGCCUGGGAAACUGGGUCUAAUACCGGAUAGGACCACUUCUUGGAUGUUGUGGUGGAAAGUUUUUUCGGUGUGGGAUGAGCUCGCGGCCUAUCAGCUUGUUGGUGGGGUAAUGGCCUACCAAGGCGUCGACGGGUAGCCGGCCUGAGAGGGUGUACGGCCACAUUGGGACUGAGAUACGGCCCAGACUCCUACGGGAGGCAGCAGUGGGGAAUAUUGCACAAUGGGCGCAAGCCUGAUGCAGCGACGCCGCGUGGGGGAUGACGGCCUUCGGGUUGGAAACUCCUUUCGCUAGGGACGAAGCGUUUUGUGACGGUACCUGGAGAAGAAGCACCGGCUAACUACGUG
rnacentral:rRNA from 1 species